rnacentral:sRNA from 1 species
UGUUUUAAAUUAACUUUGGCAUCAUAAUUAAAUAGCUUUACUUCUCCAUGGCUUAAAUCAAAUGGUACAGUUAAUUCUGCUUCGUGGUUAGUAAGAUUACCUACAAUAAGAACUUGCUUUUCAUUUAAUGUUCUCGUGUACGCAAAAACUUGUGAAUUUUCAGCAUCUACUAAAUCAAAUUGACCAUAUACGUAUACAUCAUUAGACUUUCUUAAUUGAAUUAAAUCUUUAUAAAAUUGUAAUACUGAAUGCUCAUCUUCUAAUUGUUGUGCAACAUUGAUAGUUUUAUAAUUCGGAUUCACUGGGAACCACGGUUCACCAUUUGUAAAUCCUCCAUUUAACGUAU